UAUCCUAUCCAGACAUUUUAUUUGAAAUGACACUAGUAGGUAUAUACAAUUGCCCACUAGUUUUCUCAGGGAAGAGUAGCAGUUGAAAUUCUUUAGAUAAAAAUGAAUCUGUUAAAAUUAAUGUCUGGGUUAAAGCAUCUACAUUUCAAAGCAAGGAAUAAGCUAAUUGUAUCCACAGAGGGCAUUUUAACACACCAGGUUUAAUGCUUAAAAGGCCAUUUUAGAGAAAAAUAGGCAGCAUCCUCACACAGAAAAGCCUCUGGGAGGAUGACAGAUUCCUUUCCUCCAUCCCUCAGAAUAUUUAGAUGCUUCACAUGGAGAACAGCGGAAAGAAGGGAUAACAUACCAGUUGAGCCUGUGUGAGAUAUUUCUUCCACCAAAGAUACUUGUGCAUAGAUGGAAACACAGAAAGGCCAUAGUAGGAGUACAUAAGAAUGUGGAUAAAACUGUUCAGUGUGGGUCCAAAGAAACCUGUGAAAGUACAGUAUAAAAAUUACUGUUCAUUCUUUAUCCAGUGAGACUGGUUCUUCCUGUACACCAUCACUGAAGAUGAAUAGCAACUCCGGUACUAGCAGAUACCAGAAUUUCACAUGGACAGACUCCCUUUCGCUUCUGUGCUCUUACUCCAGGAUUCAGCAAAAGUCCCCGAGACAAGACAAAACUGGGAUGGUUUUUCAGUCAGAGUGUCAACCAAACAGAUCAGAGGUCUGGUUAGAUAAAUGCAAAUCAACGAAUAAGAAAUGAAAACAACACUCGCAUCCAGUAAGUCCUCCGCAAACACAGGCUGGAAUAACUUGUUACAGGGCUUGGAUUUACAUGAAAACACAGAGUUUCAGAGUACCAGCUAGCAUAAGGUAUCCAGUUCAAAACACACCACCAGAUGUUAAACAUGGAGGCAUGAUGGUAUACGUGAAGAAAAGUAAUCUGACUGGUUUUUUUCCGCAAAACAAAGAAAAUUGUGUCCAGGAACUCUACUGAUUUGGAGAAGUAGUACCACCAUAACACCUUAGCUACCUGUAAGAAUGUGGAAACAGAAAAGAGAAAAGGGCCCAGGAGCCGUCUGUACGUAGAAGACUACUUCUUCCGCAUCUCCUCCUCAGAUUUAAAAUCAAGAUGCCUCCAGGGUUGUAUGAAAUGCUGAAUCACUACGCUGUACACCUGAAACUAAUAUUACACCUACAAUUCACAGCACUGAAGAGGUGCUCACAGAAUGUUGGCCAAACAGAACGGAUUAAUCCUUACAGCUCCCCCAUGAGUUAAGGAGGACAAGUACCGGAUCUCCAUUUUAAAGAAUUACUUGGGUUUGGCACAUUGCAAAGGAAUGGGCGAUGCGUGAUGUAAUGCGGGCAGCCAGAGCUGGGCUGGAACGUCGGCCCGGCCUCCACGGUCGUCCUGAGAAACAGCCCCACCACCGCUUUCGCUGUCACAGGGGCCCCAAAGAUGUGGGCAGCUGUC